AGCUAAAGUAAAUUAUGUAUUAUUGAGAAUAUUGAGUCAGUACUGUUUACAUUUGAAGUCAAUCUUUCUCAGUUAGCUGGCUACGUUAUUGAUCCUGACAUUAUUUAGAGGGCCAUGGAGUGCACAGGCUUUUGUUCCAGCCCAGAAAUCACACAACACACUCCUGUGCCUCAAACAACUUGAAGUUGGCCAUUGUGAUAUUUGAAUUAUGAAGUGGUAUAUUUCACACAAUGGUUUGCGUGACAAAAUAUGAUCUCUAAUGGAACAUGUAUAAGAAGACUGGCCGUAGGAACAUUGCCCUUGAAAUCAAGACGUUCAGGAUCUGAUGGCUUGGACACAUAUUGAUGGACAGUGGUGGCUGUGCUGGAGUAGAUGGGUCUCAUGGGACAGGGCUCGGACUGUGGCAAAAGACACUCCACCGGUAGAAGAUGAAGAGGACUAAGUUAAGCCAGUGGUGGCUGGUCCACUCCAGGAAUCUGAGGUGCGGGAGGUUCCUCCACCCCCUCUGGACAUUGAGGGGGCUCCGGCCUAUGCUGUUCGAGCCAUCCUGGACUCGAGGUGUUGGGCAAGGGGCCUUCAGUCCCUCGUGGAGUGGGAGGGGUACGGUCUGGAGGAGAGAUGCUGGAGACCUGGAUCGCCCUACGCCUCGUCCUCCGGGUCGUCCCUGAGGUCGGUGUCUGUGCGCUGCUGGAGCCGCUCGUCAAGGGGGGGUGGGGUUACUGUCACUACUUCUACCGAAGUCGGUCCCUCUCCUUGUUCGUUCGGCGGUCGACGUCGCCGGCCUUCUAGCCAUCGCCGAUCCACUUUUCAUUUUCCAUUUGUUUUGUCUUUAUUUUACACACCAAUUUUCAAUCCCCCAAUUACUUGUUCAUUAUUUAACCCUCUGGUCCCCCAUGGCUUUUUGUGAGUGAUUAUUUGUAUGUAGGAAGGUCUGUUAAUGUGGGCUCUGUCUUUGUAUUGCAUUUAUAUAUGUUGAGUAAAAUACGUUUAUUUACUCA